rnacentral:tRNA from 39 species
GGGGGAUAGAGGGACUUGAACCA